CAUUGUGUAGUUGUUUGAAUGUUGGUCUACAGCUCUGGAGAUCAGGGUUCAAAUCCCUGCACAAUGU
rnacentral:tRNA from 1 species